UACGUAGGGUGCGAGCGUUGUCCGGAAUUACUGGGCGUAAAGAGCUCGUAGGCGGUUUGUCGCGUCUGCUGUGAAAAACUCGGGGCUUAACUCCGGGCCUGCAGUGGGUACGGGCAGACUAGAGUGCGGUAGGGGAGACUGGAAUUCCUGGUGUAGCGGUGAAAUGCGCAGAUAUCAGGAGGAACACCGGUGGCGAAGGCGGGUCUCUGGGCCGUAACUGACGCUGAGGAGCGAAAGCGUGGGGAGCGAACAGG
rnacentral:rRNA from 1 species